CCGAAACUUGGUCUCCCCAUGUCGUUCUUUCUCUCACCUUCUGGCUGAAUUAUUCAGCCUCUUUUCUCCACUGAAUUUCCUCACUGAGCUGUCUUUAUUCUAUUACUCUUUAUAUCCUUAAUUAACGUUUAAUUAAGCAGUUGUUUCCUGAUCCUCGCCGACGCCGUCCCCGCUUCGAAUUCCCUGGAUCCACCGGGGCUGGACCCCGGCACUGGACUGGACCAUGUGAUUCUCAGGCCGUAUCCAGAUAUAUAUGUUCCCAGGGCGUCACUCUGCCCUCUGCCAUCAUCCGUCUUGGGAACCAGAGUUGGACGUCAAUCCCCAUAAGCCACAGGGGGCGGUCUGUGUCUGGGCUGGUCUUUCCACUGGACGGAGCCGAGGGCAGCCUAGCUGUGGACCUUUUCCGGGAGAUCAGUCCCUACUCACCCACUCUCCGCCCCUUCCCAAACCACAAACAUGAGGCAGACAGAGCGAAGAGGAACAGCUAGGAAAAUAGCGCAAAGCUCUCCCACGGGGGCCGGCACGUGAGGGCACAACGUCUUCAGGUGGCCACAGCUGUUGGGUGUACACACUGUGAAGUUCCCGGAGUACAGAGGAUGAGGUGUCGGGAGGAGAGAGGAUGGGAGAGGACCUCGGGGCACAGUGGUUACCAAUGGCGGCUGCCGUCUGGGGAGCUGAAGGAUGGGCAUGGCAUCAUGGGUCAGGAUGGAGGUGAAGGUUUGGAAGGAGCUCACACCCAGUUUUAGCAAAGACAUUACUACUGUUACCCUAGUAAUGUCAAGUGCAGGGAUGUGCAAGAUGGAAGGUUGAACUUGAGAUGUCCAAGAGCAGAAGACCAGGCAUGGAGACUCUGAGGUCCCAGGAAAUGAGUCACCUCAGGCUUCUCAGAAGAAGAGCCCGCAGUCCAGCGACACGCCCUGACUUCCAGGGGAGGGAGGCAUGAUUACUGC
ensembl:lncRNA